AGCGAACGCUGGCGGCAUGCCUAACACAUGCAAGUCGCACGCCCCGCAAGGGGAGUGGCGGACGGGUGCGUAACGCGUAGGGAUCUGUCCCGAGGUGGGGGAUAACCCUGGGAAACUAGGGCUAAUACCGCAUGACACCUGAGGGUCAAAGGCGCGAGUCGCCUUGGGAGGAACCUGCGUCCGAUUAGCUUGUUGGUGGGGUAACGGCCUACCAAGGCUGCGAUCGGUAGCUGGUCUGAGAGGAUGAUCAGCCACACUGGGACUGAGACACGGCCCAGACUCCUACGGGAGGCAGCAGUGGGGAAUAUUGGACAAUGGGCGCAAGCCUGAUCCAGCAAUGCCGCGUGGGUGAAGAAGGUCUUCGGAUUGUAAAGCCCUUUCGGCGGGGACGAUGAUGACGGUACCCGCAGAAGAAGCCCCGGCUAACUUCGUG
rnacentral:rRNA from 1 species